GAGUUUGAUCCUGGCUCAGAUUGAACGCUGGCGGCAUGCCUUACACAUGCAAGUCGAACGGUAACAGGUCUUCGGAUGCUGACGAGUGGCGAACGGGUGAGUAAUACAUCGGAACGUGCCCAGUAAUGGGGGAUAGCCCGGCGAAAGCCGGAUUAAUACCGCAUACGCCCUGAGGGGGAAAGUGGGGGACCGCAAGGCCUCACGUUAUUGGAGCGGCCGAUGGCUGAUUAGCUAGUUGGUGAGGUAAAGGCUCACCAAGGCGACGAUCAGUAGCUGGUCUGAGAGGACGAUCAGCCACACUGGGACUGAGACACGGCCCAGACUCCUACGGGAGGCAGCAGUGGGGAAUUUUGGACAAUGGGGGCAACCCUGAUCCAGCAAUGCCGCGUGUGCGAAGAAGGCCUUCGGGUUGUAAAGCACUUUUGUCAGGGAAGAAACCCUUUGGGCUAAUACCCUAGGGGGAUGACGGUACCUGAAGAAAUAAGCACCCGGGCUAACAACGUGCCAGCAGCGGCGGUAAUACGUAGGGGGGCAAGCGUAAAUCGGAAUUACUGGGGCGUAAAGCGUGCGCAGGCGGUUGUGUAAGACAAGAUGGGAAAUCCCCGGGCUUAACCCUGGGAACUGCAUUUGUGACUGCACGACUAGAGUGCGUCAGAGGGGGGGUGGAAUUUCCACGUGUAGCAGUGAAAUGCGUAGAUAUGUGGAGGAACACCAAUGGCGAAAGCAGCCCCCUGGGAUGACACUGACGCUCAUGCACGAAAGCGUGGGGAGCAAACAGGAUUAGAUACCCUGGUAGUCCACGCCCUAAACGAUGUCAACUAGUUGUUGGGGAUUUACUUCCUUGGUAACGUAGCUAACGCGUGAAGUUGACCGCCUGGGGAGUACGGCCGCAAGGUUAAAACUCAAAGGAACUGACGGGGACCCGCACAAGCGGUGGAUGAUGGUGGAUUAAUUCGAUGCAACGCGAAAAACCUUACCCACCCCUGACAUGGCAGGGACUUUCAGAAGAAUGGAUUGGUGCUCGAAAGAGAGCCUGCACAACAGUGCUGCAUGGCUGUCGGUCAGCUCGUGUCGUGAAAUGUGUCAGGUUAAGUCCCGCAACGAGCGCAACCCUUGUCAUUAGUUGCUACGAAAGGGCACUCUAAUGAGACUGCCGGUGACAAACCGGAGGAAGGUGGGGAUGACGUCAAGUCCUCAUGGCCCUUAUGGGUAGGGCUUCACACGUCACACAAUGGUCGGUACAGAGGGUUGCCAAGCCGCGAGGUGGAGCCAAUCCCAGAAAACCGAUCGUAGUCCGGAUUGCAGUCUGCAACUCGACUGCAUGAAGUCGGAAUCGCUAGUAAUCGCGGAUCAGCAUGCCGCGGUGAAUACGUUCCCGGGUCUUGUACACACCGCCCGUCACACCAUGGGAGUGGGUUCUACCAGAAGUAGCUAGUCUAACCGCAAGGGGGACGGUUACCACGGUAGGAUUCAUGACUGGGGUGAAGUCGUAACAAGGUAGCCGU
rnacentral:rRNA from 1 species